rnacentral:rRNA from 1 species
AACGAACGCUGGCGGCAGGCUUAACACAUGCAAGUCGAGCGCCCCGCAAGGGGAGCGGCAGACGGGUGAGUAACGCGUGGGAAUCUACCCUUUUCUACGGAAUAACGCAGGGAAACUUGUGCUAAUACCGUAUACGCCCUUCGGGGGAAAGAUUUAUCGGGAAAGGAUGAGCCCGCGUUGGAUUAGCCAGUUGGUGGGGUAAAGGCCUACCAAGGCGACGAUCCGUAGCUGGUCUGAGAGGAUGAUCAGCCACAUUGGGACUGAGACACGGCCCAAACUCCUACGGGAGGCAGCAGUGGGGAAUAUUGGACAAUGGGCGCAAGCCUGAUCCAGCCAUGCCGCGUGAGUGAUGAAGGCCCUAGGGUUGUAAAGCUCUUUCACCGGUGAAGAUAAUGACGGUAACCGGAGAAGAAGCCCCGGCUAACUUCGUGCCAGCAGCCGCCGUAA